UACGAAGGGGGGCUAGCGUUGCUCGGAAUCACUGGGCGUAAAGGGUGCGUAGGCGGGUCUUUAAGUCAGGGGUGAAAUCCUGGAGCUCAACCACAGAAUUGCCUUCGAUACUGUAGAGCUUGAGUUCGGGAGAGGUGAGUGGAACUGCGAGUGUAGAGGUGAAAUUCGUAGAUAUUCGCAAGAACACCAGUGGCGAAGGCGGCUCACUGGCCCGAUACUGACGCUGAGGUGCGAAAGCGUGGGGAGCAAACAGGG
rnacentral:rRNA from 1 species